rnacentral:misc_RNA from 1 species
CUUACUUUCUCUGCACAUUCUCACUACACAGCACACAUACACACAAAAAACUCCAGUAAACUUCCUUUUUAUACGCAAAGGAAUGCCUUCUCCAAAUCAACAAAUGCCAUACUUUGCAAUAUACCUAUCAUUUCUUGUACACACAUUUUUUUCACCUAAUUUUCACCAAAAACUCAUCAACUCCAAGACAGAUGCUCGCAAGAACAAAUCAAUUUAAACAUACACAUGCAAUGGGCUUGCUGAUCGAGAAGCAAAAUGAAUAACAACCCAGUAAAAUUAAUGCAAAACAACACCUCUACGGCUAAGUGAGGCCAAGAAACCAACUGC